AACGAACGCUGGCGGCAGGCUUAACACAUGCAAGUCGAGCGCCCCGCAAGGGGAGCGGCAGACGGGUGAGUAACGCGUGGGAACGUACCUUUUGGUUCGGAACAACUCCGGGAAACUGGAGCUAAUACCGGAUAAGCCCUAACGGGGAAAGAUUUAUCGCCGAAAGAUCGGCCCGCGUCUGAUUAGCUAGUUGGUGAGGUAACGGCUCACCAAGGCGACGAUCAGUAGCUGGUCUGAGAGGAUGAUCAGCCACACUGGGACUGAGACACGGCCCAGACUCCUACGGGAGGCAGCAGUGGGGAAUAUAGGGCAAUGGGCGCAAGCCUGAUACAGCCAUGCCGCGUGAGUGAUGAAGGCCUUAGGGUUGUAAAGCUCUUUUGUCCGGGAAGAUAAUGACUGUACCGGAAGAAUAAGCCCCGGCUAACUUCGUG
rnacentral:rRNA from 1 species